GAUGAACGCUGGCGGCGUGCCUAAUACAUGCAAGUCGAGCGAACAGACGCGGAGCUUGCUCCUCUGACGUUAGCGGCGGACGGGUGAGUAACACGUGGAUAACCUACCUAUAAGACUGGGAUCACUUCGGGAAACCGGAGCUAAUACCGGAUAAUAUAUUGAACCGCAUGGUUCAAUAGUGAAAGACGGUUUUGCUGUCACUUAUAGAUGCAUCUCCGCCGCAUUAGCUAGUUGGUAAGGUAACGGCUUACCAAGGCAACGAUGCGUAGCCGACCUGAGAGGGUGGUCGGCCACACUGGAACUGAGACACGGACCAGACUCCUACGGGAGGCAGCAGUAGGGAAUCUUCCGCAAUGGGCGAAAGCCUGACGGAGCAACGCCGCGUGAGUGAUGAAGGUCUUCGGAUCGUAAAACUCUGUUAUUAGGGAAGAACAAAUGUGUAAGUAACUAUGCACGUCUUGACGGUACCUAAUCAGAAAGCAACGGCUAACUACGUG
rnacentral:rRNA from 1 species